GGCUUGCUCUUAGCCACGUUCGAUCGAGUGUCGGCU
rnacentral:rRNA from 1 species